CCUACGGUAGGCAGCAGUGAGGAAUAUUGGUCAAUGGGCGGGAGCCUGAACCAGCCAAGUCGCGUGAGGGAAGACGGUCCUAUGGAUUGUAAACCUCUUUAGGCGGGGAGCAAUGCCGGGCACGCGUGCCCGGAGGGAGAGUACCCUCAGAAUACGCAUCGGCUAACUCCGUGCCAGCGGCCGCGGUAAUACGGAGGCUGCGAGCGUUAUCCGAAUUUAUUGUGUUUAAAGGGUGAGUAGGCGUAUUUUUAAGUCAGCGGUAAAAUGUCCGGGCUCAACCCCGGCCGGCCGUUGAAACUGGGGAUCUUGAGUGGGCGAGAAGUAUGCGGAAUGCGUGGUGUAGCGGUGAAAUGCAUAGAUAGCACGCAGAACUCCGAUUGCGAAGGCAGCAUACCGGCGCCCGACUGACGCUGAGGCACGAAAGCGUGGGGAUCGAACAGGAUUAGAUACCCCGGUAGUC
rnacentral:rRNA from 1 species